rnacentral:rRNA from 1 species
GACGAACGCUGGCGGCGUGCUUAACACAUGCAAGUCGAACGGAAAGGCCCUGCUUUUGUGGGGUGCUCGAGUGGCGAACGGGUGAGUAACACGUGAGUAACCUGCCCUUGACUUUGGGAUAACUUCAGGAAACUGGGGCUAAUACCGGAUAGGAGCUCCUGCUGCAUGGUGGGGGUUGGAAAGUUUCGGCGGUUGGGGAUGGACUCGCGGCUUAUCAGCUUGUUGGUGGGGUAGUGGCUUACCAAGGCUUUGACGGGUAGCCGGCCUGAGAGGGUGACCGGCCACAUUGGGACUGCGGUACGGCCCAGACGCCUACGGGAGGCAGCAGUGGGGAGUAUUGCACAAUGGGCGGAAGCCUGAUGCAGCAACGCCGCGUGCGGGAUGACGGCCUUCGGGUUGUAAACCGCUGUCGCCUGUGACGAAGCGUGAGUGACGGUAAUGGGUAAAGAAGCACCGGCUAACUACGUG